UAGGGAAUAUUAGAAAUGGACGAAAGUCUGAUCUAGCAACACCGCGUGUGCGAAGAAGGCCUUCGGGUCGUAAAGCACUUUUUGGAAGGAGUAGGAAGGAAUGUACUUCCAGAAUAAGUCUCGGCUAACUACGUGACAGCAGCCGCGGUAACACGUAGGAGGCAAACGUUAUCCGGAUUUACUGGGCGUAAAGCGCGUGUAGGUGGUACUGUAAGUAGGGCGUGAAAGCUCCUGGCUCAACUGGGAGAGGCCGUUCUAAACUACAGAACUAGAGGAUGGUAGAGGGAGGUGGAAUUCCGGGUGUAGUGGGGAAAUGCGUAGAUAUCAGGAGGGACGCCAGUGGCGAAAGCUGCCUCCUGGGCCAUUUCUGACGCUAAGGCGCGACAGCUAGGGAAGCAAGCU
rnacentral:rRNA from 1 species